rnacentral:rRNA from 1 species
AGCGAACGCUGGCGGCAGGCCUAACACAUGCAAGUCGAACGAACCUUUCGGGGUUAGUGGCGGACGGGUGAGUAACACGUGGGAACGUGCCUUUAGGUUCGGAAUAACUCAGGGAAACUUGUGCUAAUACCGAAUGUGCCCUUCGGGGGAAAGAUUUAUCGCCUUUAGAGCGGCCUGCGUCCGAUUAGCUAGUUGGUUGAGGUAAUGGCUCACCAAGGCGACGAUCAGUAGCUGGUCUGAGAGGAUGAUCAGCCACAUUGGGACUGAGACACGGCCCAAACUCCUACGGGAGGCAGCAGUGGGGAAUCUUGCGCAAUGGGCGAAAGCCUGACGCAGCCAUGCCGCGUGAAUGAUGAAGGUCUUAGGAUUGUAAAAUUCUUUCACCGGGGACGAUAAUGACGGUACCCGGAGAAGAAGCCCCGGCUAACUUCGUG